rnacentral:lncRNA from 1 species
GUUAUUUCCAAGUCUUAUAACAGUCCCAAAUCUAAUACAACUCAACAAAUUCGAAUAUUCAGAAUAAAAACUACCUAGCAUACACCAAGAAUCAAGUAAUGAAAAUAGACAUUAUAUAGAACUACUGCAGAUAGAACUAUUGUCAUUUCUCAACUUCAUUUUCAUUUCCCUCUUCAAAUUGAAUUUCACAUUGGGCAAAGUUAAAAAAUGUACCUGUAAAUGGACAAAGAAAAAUAGGUGAGGAGUAGUAAGCUGCAGCAGAGAUAUCAAAAAGGAAGCAGCACCACAGAAUUAGCUAAACCCAGAUUUGAACAGUCAAAAUAGUGAAAUCAACUUCAGGCAUUCAAUAGAACAGUAAACCCAACCACAAGCUUAAACCAGAAUUUUCCAAAACCCCAAUUCUAAUCCAUUUCCAACCUCAAAUGAAUCAAAGUUGUUUGGAAAUUGAAAGAUUCAAAAAUCACUGGAAAAAAAGUUCAAUGAAACAGUAAAAAAAAAUCAGCCAUUUGUAUUUUCUGGAUUUUUUAUUUUUGAAUCUCUGCCUUGAAUGCCAAGUUAGAGAGUCUUUAUAGGCAAGUCAUUUAGGGCAGCUAGAUGAGAAUCAGAUUUGCACCUAGACCCUCUUUAAAUUUUUAUUAUAGCUUAGGAGUCCUUAAGUUAAAAUUCAGAAAUUCUCUUAGGUCCUUUCCUCAGCUUCCUAGAAGCUUCCAUUUCAGUUAUACAAAGAUUUCCUAAACUAGACUACCCAAAUUACCCCUUAAUGACCCAAUUAUUACCCCUGAAACUAAACGGGUAUGAGGUCAAAUUGACUCAAUGUUUCAAUCCAGCCUGGGCUUGCAAGACUCAAUAUGAAUCUUUUAUUUUUUUUGGCUUUUGAUUUCAAUCAAACCAACAAUCUAUAAUCGAACCCAUAAUUUAAACAGACUGACCCGAAAUUUCCAUAAAAGAAAAACCCAGAAACCUCUUUAAAAAAUGAAACUAAAAACAAAAAAAGAAAGGGAAAUGAACCAAUAAAAUAAGCUAGACCUGGUUGUUAAACUAGUUAUGUAAAACAGAACAAACGGGCAAACGAACACAUGAUGAAGAAAAGGAAGAAAGGGUGCAGAAAAAGAUAAAAAUGAAAUUAGACGCAAAAGAAGAAAACAUGCAAGAAAAGGAAGUGAAAAAUACCUAAAAUCUAGAUGGCUUAAUCUUGGAUCUUCAGAGGAAGCUUCAAUUUCUUGAACGAAAUGGGCCUUAAUCAUAUGUUUUCAAACGAGAACGCACGAAUAAAGCUAAUUUCAGCCUUAAAACUUCGUUAAACUUCGUUGAUUUGGGUUUUGGGAUUUUAGGAUUCAUGUCUUCCAAUUAAUAUUUGAGGAGUUCAGGGAAGAUUCGAAGGAAAUCAGUUGUGGAUUAGGUACGAGGGGGUCAAGGGGAGUUUGGGGUGUUGAUUUGGGGUGAUUUGGGACCAACGCCGCCGGCGACUAGCGGUGGAAAAGAGGGCGGCUUCUAGGGUUUGUUUCAGUCGUCUAUGAAGGAGACGAAGAGUGAGG